rnacentral:rRNA from 1 species
GAUGAACGCUGGCGGCGUGCCUAACACAUGCAAGUCGAGCGAUUUACUUCGGUAAAGAGCGGCGGACGGGUGAGUAACGCGUGGGUAACCUGCCCUGUACACACGGAUAACAUACCGAAAGGUAUGCUAAUACGAGAUAAUAUGCUUUUAUCGCAUGGUAGAAGUAUCAAAGCUCCGGCGGUACAGGAUGGACCCGCGUCUGAUUAGCUAGUUGGUAAGGUAACGGCUUACCAAGGCGACGAUCAAUAGCCGACCUGAGAGGGUGAUCGGCCACAUUGGGACUGAGACACGGUCCAAACUCCCACGGGAGGCAGCAGUGGGGAAUAUUGCACAAUGGGCGAAAGCCUGAUGCAGCAACGCCGCGUGAGCGAUGAAGGCCUUCGGGUCGUAAAGCUCUGUCCUCAAGGAAGAUAAUGACGGUACUUGAGGAGGAAGCCCCGGCUAACUACGUGCCAGCCGCCGCGGUAA